GAUGAACGCUGGCGGCGUGCUUAACACAUGCAAGUCGAACGGAGAAUUGAAGCUUGCUUUAAUUCUUAGUGGCGGACGGGUGAGUAACGCGUGGGUAACCUGCCCUUAAGUGGGGGACAACAGUUGGAAACGACUGCUAAUACCGCAUAAAGUUAAGAGUCUGCAUGGACUAUUAACCAAAGGAGUAAUCCGCUUUUGGAUGGACCCGCGUCUGAUUAGCUAGUUGGUGAGGUAACGGCUCACCAAGGCGACGAUCAGUAGCCGGCCUGAGAGGGUGAUCGGCCACACUGGGACUGAGACACGGCCCAGACUCCUACGGGAGGCAGCAGUGGGGAAUCUUCCGCAAUGGACGAAAGUCUGACGGAGCAACGCCGCGUGAGGGAUGAAGGCCUUCGGGUUGUAAACCUCUGUCUUCAGGGAAGAAAAAAAUGACGGUACCUGAGGAGGAAGCCCCGGCUAACUACGUGCCAGCCGCCGCCGUAA
rnacentral:rRNA from 1 species